rnacentral:rRNA from 1 species
GCACGAAGUUAGCCGUGGCUUAUUCGCCUGGUACAUUCAUUCCCUAUAUUUCUACAGGGCGGUUAGUCCCAGGCAAAAGGAGUUUACAAUCCGAAGACCUUCGUCCUCCACGCGGCGUCGCUGGAUCAGGGUUUCCCCCAUUGUCCAAAAUUCCUCA